AUUGAACGCUGGCGGCAGGCCUAACACAUGCAAGUCGAAUGGUAACAGGAAGCAGCUUGCUGUUUCGCUGACGAGUGGCGGACGGGUGAGUAAUGUCUGGGAAACUGCCUGAUGGAGGGGGAUAACUACUGGAAACGGUAGCUAAUACCGCAUAACGUCGCAAGACCAAAGAGGGGGACCUUCGGGCCUCUUGCCAUCAGAUGUGCCCAGAUGGGAUUAGCUAGUAGGUGGGGUAACGGCUCACCUAGGCGACGAUCCCUAGCUGGUCUGAGAGGAUGACCAGCCACACUGGAACUGAGACACGGUCCAGACUCCUACGGGAGGCAGCAGUGGGGAAUAUUGCACAAUGGGCGCAAGCCUGAUGCAGCCAUGCCGCGUGUAUGAAGAAGGCCUUCGGGUUGUAAAGUACUUUCAGCGGGGAGGAAGGGAGUAAAGUUAAUACCUUUGCUCAUUAACGUUACCCGCAGAAGAAGCACCGGCUAACUCCGUG
rnacentral:rRNA from 1 species